rnacentral:rRNA from 1 species
CCUACGGGUGGCAGCAGUAGGGAAUCUUGCACAAUGGGCGAAAGCCUGAUGGAGCAACGCCGCGUGGGUGAAGAAGGUCUUCGGAUCGUAAAACCCUGUUGUUAGAGAAGAAAGUGCGUGAGAGUAACUGUUCACGUUUCGACGGUAUCUAACCAGCAAGCCACGGCUAACUACGUGCCAGCAGCCGCGGUAAUACGUAGGGGGCAAGCGUUAUCCGGAUUUAUUGGGCGUAAAGGGAACGCAGGCGGUCAUUUAAGUCUGAUGUGAACGCCUUCGGCCUAACCGGCGUAGUGCAUUUGAAACUGGGAGACUUGAGUGCAGGAGAGGAAGGUGGAAUGCCAUGUGUAGCGGUGAAAUGCGUAGAUAUAUGGAAGAACACCAGUGGCGAAGGCGGCCCUCUGGUCUGUUACUGACGCUGAGGUUCGAAAGCGUGGGUAGCAAACAGGAUUAGAUACCCUUGUAGUC